UACGGGGGGGGCAAGCGUUGUUCGGAAUUACUGGGCGUAAAGGGCUCGUAGGCGGCCCACUAAGUCCGACGUGAAAUCCCCAGGCUUAACUUGGGAACUGCGUCGGAUACUGGUGGGCUUGAAUCCGGGAGAGGGAUGCGGAAUUCCAGGUGUAGCGGUGAAAUGCGUAGAUAUCUGGAGGAACACCGGUGGCGAAGGCGGCAUCCUGGACCGGUAUUGGCGGUGAGUGAGCGAAAGCCAGGGGAGCAAACGGG
rnacentral:rRNA from 1 species